rnacentral:rRNA from 1 species
GCAUAUCAAUAAGCGGAGGAAAAGAAACCAACAGGGAUUGCCUCAGUAACGGCGAGUGAAGCGGCAACAGCUCAAAUUUGAAAUCUGGCUCCUUCGGGGCCCGAGUUGUAAUUUGCAGAGGAUGCGUCGGGUACGGGUGCCUUCCGAGUUCCCUGGAACGGGACGCCAUAGAGGGUGAGAGCCCCGUCUGGUAGGACACCCAGCCCGUGUGACGCUCCCUCGACGAGUCGAGUAGUUUGGGAAUGCUGCUCUAACGGGAGGUAUACUCCUUCCAAGGCUAAAUACCGGCUGGAGACCGAUAGCGCACAAGUAGAGUGAUCGAAAGAUGAAAAGCACUUUGAAAAGAGAGUCAAACAGCACGUGAAAUUGUUAAAAGGGAAGCGCUCGCUACCAGACUUGGGUUCGGCGGUUCAACCGGGGCCACGCCCCGGGGCAUUCCGCCGGCCCAGGCCAGCAUCAGCUUUCCGUCGGGGGUAAAGGCGUCGGGAAUGUGGCUCCCCUUCGGGGGAGUGUUAUAGCCCGUCGUGUCAUACCCUUCGGGGGGCUGAGGUACGCGCUUCUGCAAGGAUGCUGGCGUAAUGGUAGCUAGUGACCCGUCUUGAAACACGGACCAAGGAGUCAACCUUAUGUGCGAGUGCCCGGGCGUAAAACCCCAGCGCGGAAUGAAAGUGAACGUAGGUGAGAGCUUCGGCGCAUCACCGACCGAUCCUGAUGUCCUCGGACGGAUUUGAGUGAGAGCAUAUAGGGUUGGACCCGAAAGAAGAUGAACUAUGCGUGUGUAGGGUGAAGCCAGAGGAAACUCUGGUGGAGGCUCGCAGCGGUUCUGACGUGCAAAUCGAUCGUCAAACAUGCGCAUGGGGGCGAAAGACUAAUCGAAUCUUCUGGUAGCUGGUUUCCGCCGAA